AUUGAACGCUGGCGGCAGGCCUAACACAUGCAAGUGGAACGAGUGGCGGACGGGUGAGUAAUGUCUGGGAAACUGCCCGAUGGAGGGGGAUAACUACUGGAAACGGUAGCUACUACCGCAUACCAUCGGAUGUGCCCAGAUGGGAUUAGCUAGUAGGUGGGGUAACGGCUCACGUAGGCGACGAUCCCUAGCUGGUCUGAGAGGAUGACCAGGCACACUGUAACUGAGACACGGUCCAGACUCCUACCGGAGGCAUCAGUGGGGAAUAUUGUACAAUGGGCGAAAGCCUGAUGCAGCAAGGCCGUGUGUAUUAAGAAGGCCUUCGGGUUGUAAAGUACUUUCAGCGGGGAGGCGUUACCCGCAGAAGAAGCACCGGCUAACGCCGUGCCAGCAGCCGCGGUAAUUC
rnacentral:rRNA from 1 species